AACUAUGACGCACGUGAUAAUUUAGUCCUCAAACUUGAUCAAUUUGUUGUAAUUUAUGUCUCGAACUUUCGGAAUUGUUCUAAUCAAGUCUAACAUUCUAAUUUAGUUGAUAAAAAAAUGAUGUGGCAUUCUAAUUGUUAGCGCAUCAUCAAUCAUAACAUUAUUACGUCACCUUUACUUGAUUGCAACGAUUCUGAGAGUUCGAGCCAAAAAUUGCAGUAAAUUGAAAUUUUAGGACUGAAAUGUCACU
rnacentral:lncRNA from 1 species